rnacentral:lncRNA from 1 species
GUUGGGUCUAAAUGAGGGACAUGAUCUGCUCUUGACUCUCAGUGUGGUAGGAGCCCUCCCUCUGAAGGCCGUAAUGAGGAAGGUAGAUGAGAUCCCAAACAGGUUGACAGAACAAUUAAGGGGAAAAUGGGAGUUGAUUCAAAAUGCAGUGCUGCCAUCGAUGGCACAGAUACAUACAGAGCUUUCCCUUUAAGAAGUCUGCAUUGCUCUUCAGAAGUGGGUCUAGGGAUUUCUUUCACUUCCUGCAUACUUAUAUAUAUUUUUAAUUUCAUUCCCGAAUCAAGCCUUACGUACAUAAGAAAAUAGCUCAGAAGGAAAGGCCUGGUUCUGAUCUUACUUACACAGGUGUAAAUCAGGAGCAACUCUUCCAAACUGUCUGCAAUGGGAAUGACUUCCAGGCUGGUGUAUCUUGAUUAGUGCAGUAGACAAAAGGCAGUUUCCAUUCAGUGAUCAGAGUAUUGUUCGAGUCUGCUUGAUUGAGACUUUAAGCUCUUUGAUGAAUGUGGGUGCUUGGAACAGCAGAAGAGGUUCCUGAGGUCUGCCUGAAGGAAAAUGAGUUAUUCCUCUACCUCUGAAGAAAUAAAAACAGAUCCUACCAGCCCUUUGCCAAAUGGACUUCUGUUUUUCUGAAGCACACAACAGUUGGAAUGAAGUUGGAAAGGAUAUUUGGAUUCCAAAGCCUGGAAUGCCUUGCUUCUGCUACUGUACAGUGGAAGCAGCUGCAUUUUGGAAUAUGGCCUUUCCUCAGGCAUGUACGUACACUCAGAUGUCUCAGAACAGCUAUUUUUGAGAGAGAGGUCUGCUCAAUAAGCUUCUGUGGAAACUUUGGAUGCAUUGGUGCUUAUAGGACCAGGAGAAGAACAGGGUCCAGGAUGAAUGUGGACAUGUACUUAAGAGCUUUGCUGAAUUUGAUGUCAUAUCAUCUAUGGCCAAAUAAAAUACAACAGGGCCAAGGAAAGAAGGAUAAUGGAAAUGUCAGAAAUGUAAAGCUGGAAGGAACCUCAAGACAUCUUCAAGUUCCUACCUGAGGCAGCACAAUAUAUAUCCAGAUAUCUAGACUCCCUCAGGUGGUUAUCGCUGUCUUGUCAAAGAACCUGGACAGACAGGUGAUGGAAAAGUUUAAUGUGACUUGAAAAAAGCAAUGAAUUAAGCAAUGGGAUAAAGCUACUGAAAAAAAAAAAAAAAAAGAGAGAGAAGAUCCUUCAAGAUAUACCAUAGAAGGCAAGGAAAAGAAAAAUGUGUCCAAGGGGGAAGAAGAAUUUAAAACAAUGGAAAAUCAGGCAUCUGUGUUAAAUCAAAACUUGAAGAAACUGCACAUAAGGAAUUGAUUCUCUGUUGCUGCAAGAAGCUGUUCAGGAGAAACUAGGGUUUAGAAGGACAGCCAUCGCCCUUGCCCUCAGGGGAAUAUGCUAGGAGAGAGGCAGAAUGCAGAAUGUUUCCUAUAUACUUUAUCAGCAAUGCUGGUUGCUCUUAUUUAUUUUUGUCAAAUUGUUCUUUAUUUCAG